rnacentral:sRNA from 2 species
CUGAAUGAUGCACUCAUCUAUGUUGGUCCAAACAGUUUGACUGGCGCAUGAGAAGGUACACAUACAAAUCACCUUUCGGCUGACGU